UACUCUUCAGUGUUAUAUUACGUUUACUUUAGCCUUUCCCUCUUUUAACCUUUCCCUUUUUCUACUAGUUCAAAUUCAACGAAGCUUCAUUUUUUUUCCUUUAGGUGACGGACGGGAAGAGGAGAAAGAAUGAGACGGGGCGAGAAGGGACGGGAGGCGGCCGAUACGUAGAAAGAAUAGGUAGACUCGUGUCCCUCGCCUUUCACAGACCAUUGUCCAGCGCCUCUGCCGGAAACUCUAAGGUUACCCCGAGCAGAGGAAAGAAAAUAAGGAAGAUGACGUUGGACUAAAAAGGAAAUUGCUGCCAAACGCUCUUAUUGGCAGAUCAAUGGUCCGAGUUUUGAGGCGUCCAGUGGGGAAGGGAAAAAUCGUGUGCAGUGUUGGUGUUGGUGAGGUGGCAGCCGUGCCCUUACCCUGGCGGUGACGAAGAACACCAAACCUUCACCUGGCCUCACCUGCUCAUCACCACCACCACCUCACGAUGAUUAAUGGCGCUGCGGAGCCAAAGUAUUGUCUCCCUCGGUGGCGCUCACUCACCCGUUAAUAGAAGUCUGCGUCAUGAAGAGGCCGAGAAAAGCCUUGGCGAUGCUGUGCCACACCUGCGUCACCAGCCACUCAGACUGUUCGAAGCAG